AGUUAAGCAGCUCUCCCGCUCCGCUCGUCUCACGGGUGUGCGUGAGGGUUCCAGGUUCCAACCUGUAAUAAAGAUCCUUGCUGUUUGGCUUUGACUCUGGCCUCUGGUGGUCUUCUCCAGGGAAUUAACGGUCUGGGCAUAACAGUACUACAUCUCAUGAAUUUAUCUUCAUGUGUGAGGUAGUGGAAAGAAAUGUCUUGAAAAUGAAGAAAAUAAAUCUGUGGAAAAACUCCAUUCUGUCUCCUCAUUGAUGUCUGCAUGGACCUGAGGGAAACACGCACCACAAAUGCCCUCUUCUGAGACACGCACAUCUAGACUCUAAGACUUUGAAACGACUUCCUUAACACCUGCCUGUAUUACCCUGGAAGACUUCCUAAGGACCUUUGAGAACUGGCUUGGGUAAGGUAGGUGAAAUCUUAUCUACAGCAGGUAAUGACCUUCAUGGGCACUGAUGGCCAUCAGUAGUUCUGACAUUGAAGCUACAGGAAUAACACGUGGCAUCUAUUUACACAGG